AUGAUGGAUAACAUAUCAAGGUA
rnacentral:piRNA from 1 species